rnacentral:rRNA from 1 species
CGGAUUGGAGUCUGCAACUCGACUCCAUGAAGCUGGAUUCGCUAGUAAUCGCGCAUCAGCCAUGGCGCGGUGAAUACGUUCCCGGGCCUUGUACACGCCGCCCGUCAAGCCAUGGGAGUCGGGAGUGCCUGAAGUUCGUGACCGUAUAGGAGCGACCUAGGGCAAGACUGAUGACUGGGGCUAAGUCGUAACAAGGUAUC